AUUGAACGCUGGCGGCAGGCCUAACACAUGCAAGUCGAGCGAGCGGCGGACGGGUGAGUAAUGUCUGGGAAACUGCCUGAUGGAGGGGGAUAACUACUGGAAACGGUAGCUAAUACCGCAUACCAUCAGAUGUGCCCAGAGGGGAUUAGCUAGUAGGUGGGGUAACGGCUCACCUAGGCGACGAUCCCUAGCUGGUCUGAGAGGAUGACCAGCUACAUGGGAACUGAGCCACGGUCCAGACUCCUACGGGAGGAAGCAGUGGGGAUUAUUGCACAAUGGGCGCAAGCCAGAUGCAGCCAUUCCGGGUGUGUGAAGAAUGCCUUCGGGUUGUAAAGCACUUUUAGCGGGGAGGCUUUACCCGCAGAAGAAUCACCGGCUAACUCCGUGCCAGCAGCCGCGGUAAUAC
rnacentral:rRNA from 1 species